rnacentral:rRNA from 1 species
GACGAACGCUGGCGGCGUGCUUAACACAUGCAAGUCGAACGAAGUGGCGAACGGGUGAGUAACGCGGAAUCAACUUGCCCUUCAGAGGGGGACAACAGUAGGAAACGAGUGCUAAUACCCUAUACGAAAGGUGGGGACUGGGUGCGAUUGCUUAGUUGGGGGGGUAAGGGCCAACCAAGGCGAUGAGCAGUAGGCGGUCCGGGAGGAUGAACGGCCCAAUUUGGACUGAGGCCACGCCCAACCCCCUACGGGGGGCAGGAGUGGGGGAUUUUCCGCAAUGGGCGAAAGUCUGACGGAGCAACGCCGCGUGAGUGAUGACGGCCUUCGGGUUGUAAAGCUCUGUUAAUCGGGACGCGGUACCGGAAUAGAAAGCCACGGCUAACUACGUGCCAGCAGCCGCGGUAAUUC